AGUGAACGCUGGCGGUAGGCCUAACACAUGCAAGUCGAACGGCAGCACAGUAAGAGCUUGCUCUUACGGGUGGCGAGUGGCGGACGGGUGAGGAAUACAUCGGAAUCUACUUUUUCGUGGGGGAUAACGUAGGGAAACUUACGCUAAUACCGCAUACGACCUACGGGUGAAAGCAGGGGAUCUUCGGACCUUGCGCGAUUGAAUGAGCCGAUGUCGGAUUAGCUAGUUGGCGGGGUAAAGGCCCACCAAGGCGACGAUCCGUAGCUGGUCUGAGAGGAUGAUCAGCCACACUGGAACUGAGACACGGUCCAGACUCCUACGGGAGGCAGCAGUGGGGAAUAUUGGACAAUGGGAGCAAGCCUGAUCCAGACAUACCGCGUGGGUGAAGAAGGCCUUCGGGUUGUAAAGCCCUUUUGUUGGGAAAGAAAAGCAGCAGGUUAAUACCCCGCUGUUCUGACGGUACCCAAAGAAUAAGCACCGGCUAACUUCGUG
rnacentral:rRNA from 1 species